CGCGUAGGCGGUUUUUUAAGCCUGAUGUGAAAGCCCACGGCUCAACCGUGGAGGGUCAUUGGAAACUGGAAAACUUGAGUGCAGAAGGGGAAAGUGGAAUUCCAUGUGUAGCGGUGAUAUGCGCAGAGAUAUGGAGGAACACCAGUGGCGAAGGCGACUUUCUGGUCUGUAACUGACGCUGAUGUGCGAAAGCGUGGGGAUCAAACA
rnacentral:rRNA from 1 species